CGAAAUUCCUUGUCGGGUAAGUUCCGACCUGCACGAAUGGCGUAACGAUGGCCACACUGUCUCCUCCUGAGACUCAGCGAAGUUGAAAUGUUUGUGAAGAUGCAAUCUACCCGCGGCUAGACGGAAAGACCCCGUGCACCUUUACUGUAGCUUUACAUUGGGUUUUGGCAAUAUUUGUGUAGGAUAGGUGGGAGACUAUGAAAUAAUCUCGCCAGAGAUUAUGGAGUCGACGUUGAAAUACCACUCUAAUAUUUCUAGAAUUCUAACCUUGGUCCAUUAUCUGGAUCGGGGACCGUGUAUGGUAGGCAGUUUGACUGGGGCGGUCUCCUCCCAAAGAGUAACGGAGGAGCGCGAAGGUACGCUAGGUACGGUCGGAAAUCGUACUGAUAGUGCAAUGGCAAAAGCGUGCUUGACUGCGAGACUGACAAGUCGAGCAGGUGCGAAAGCAGGUCAUAGUGAUCCGGUGGUUCUGUAUGGAAGGGCCAUCGCUCAACGGAU
rnacentral:rRNA from 1 species